UGGACGGGCCAACGGUUUUAGUUGAGCCAAAGGCUUUCACCAGUUAAUAGCACAAAAUUGUGUCUUUCCCCAGCGGACAAAAAACCAAGCAAAUUAAAUCAAGAUGAGCGAAGCCCGCAACUUGUUCACCACCUUUGGCAUCCUGGCCAUCCUGCUUUUCUUCCUCUACCUCAUCUAUGCCGUAUUGUAAAAUGUUUCCGGCAAGUAGAUGGUCCUUAGGGCAGGAUCAAAGCCAGCAGCCAAAUCGGAAUCAAUCAAAAUGAAUGAGGCCAAAAGUUUGUUCACCACCUUCCUCAUCCUGGCCUUCCUGCUGUUCCUGCUCUACGCCUUCUACGAAGCCGCCUUCUAGGCUCACAUCCCCUUGUCAACCAUGACCAUCACCAACCACCAACAAACCACCCAUCAAGGAUAGCUUACAUGUUGAAUUUCAAUUCCAAGCCGCCGGCCAUGUCAUCAUCUUGUGGUCCGGUGGAGCUUCUAGGACCCUACGCGUUUAAGAUGUUUAGCAUUUAAUGGAUUUCUACUAGUAACCUAAGCCAGAUGACGUCAAUGCCACCAGUUGCCAAAAUCGAUGGCUCGGCGAUCAGGAUGAGCACUUUGAUGGGUAACCCCUGCCAUGUGUGCUCUGCCACAUUUCAUCCAUCUUUGAGGCGCUGCAGGAUCGAUUUAUUUUGAAAACUGUGCUGCCGGCCUUGGCGUCAUCUGCUCUAAUCAUAAAUAUAGUUUUGUGAUCUUUUUCAUUAUUUUUGUUCGGCAAUGGAAUCUACUUAGCUUGCAAUUCAUAGACCAUGAUGUACAGUAUAAGCAAAUUAAGAACAACAUCAGCAAUCAAUGCGAACCAUCGAUAUAAUUGGUUAUUUCAUUGUUAAACAGUCAUGUUUAUUUCGCACUCGUACUUAUUAAGACAUGCAUAAUGUGUAACUGCAUUUUACUCGACUUUUCUUAAAUAACUUGUGAAUAACAACCGCAAAGAACAGCAACAACAAACUGCAGGAAUAAAAACACAAAAACAAA
rnacentral:sRNA from 1 species